CUUGCAGUUUGUUUUUGUGCGCGACAUCCAGUUGCCCAGAGAAUCUCCCGCAGCAGCGGAGGCGUGAACGACUGGAGGUGUCUGGUGAGAAGCUUUCUGCUUUUAUACUUUGAAAAAAGAAGAAAAUUUAUGUUCUAUCUUCAGCACUACAUUGUCCCCCAAGAACAGCUGGAGCAAUAACCCCUGAUCACAAAACUGGACGCACUACCAGAAUAUGCAUCAUUAGAAUCAUCGCCCUGCAGCUGACGUGGACACCGAUAAAAGAGGUCUUCAGCUACAAACAGAUAGAAGUACCUGAUAUUCAUGAAGGUGGAAUUUCAGGGCUUCUACCUGGAGUGACAUCCUCUAGAAGCCCCUCUUGACUUCUCUGCAUCCACUUCCAUCUUUGCAGAUCACAGCUUGGACUGUACCUGUUCUGUCUUAGAACUGGAACACAGACUCCUCCAUCAGCUCCACAGGUUUCUUGUCCUCACUGAGCAGAAGACUACAGAAACUGAUUACUGAAGUGGGAAUACAUUCUUGGCCCUUGUAAUUAUAUGAGUGCUAGAUGUUAUUCAUGUGUUCUCCACUGGUAGAAGCUGGCUUAUCAUCUCAUUUCACUAAGGGCUGCCCUCUAA